UCCUUCACUGGUAUACCAUGUAUGUUAUCAAGGUUACAAGUUCUCAAAGGAAACAAAACACAUUUUUUGAUGUUUAAAAAUAAACCAGAUACAGAUGAGAAAGUAUGAAGACAAUCAAUAGCUUUUUUUUAUUUCAAUUUCAUUUUGCAAAAAAAGGGUGGUAUCGUCCGCUAAUUGGGAGCAUUUUAUUUCUUUCUUCAAAAGUGUAAUACCGCAAAAUGUAUCUCUUUUAAUAUGUAUUGCCAUAGUUUGUGUUACAAGUAAAAAAAGAAAGGGUGAGAUUGGGCAGCCCUGUCGUAUGCCUCUAUUGAUUUUAAACCUUGAUGUUGUUCCAUAUGUCAACUUAAUUGAACUGUUACAGUCAUUAUAUAAUGUUCAAAUAGCUCGUUUAAAGAAUUCUCCAAAACCAAAAAAAUGUAAGGUCUCCAACAUGAAAUUAUGAUCAAUAGUAUCAAAUGCUUUAAAAAAUUAACAAACAAAAUAAAACUAUUAUCUGUAAUAAAAUCGUUGUAAUCAAUUAAAUCCAAAACGAGCCUUAUAUUAUUACAAAUGUGUCGACCUUUCAUAAAUCCGACUGACAUUCAUCAAUAAUGGGAUCAAUACAAUCCUUUAGUCUUUCAGCAAAUAUACUUGCGAAAAACGUAAGUGGUUACGUAAGUGAAAUUCAUGGAUUCAUCGCCACAACGUAAUUUUGUGACAUGCCUUUUUUUUUUUUUUUUUUUUUUUUGAAAAGAAUAACAAAUUUACAGACAAAAUAGGCAUUAACAAACAAUGUUAACCAUUUACAGUUCUCAAAGGGCAGACAUAGUUACAAAUUAUAAUACGUAACGGCAAUAAGUUUAAAUUAAAUAUAAAAAAGCUAUGGGGUACUUAAUUCGUUGAAAAAAUUGGCCACUGUAAUAGCUUUUUCAUUUGAAAGGGUACCAAGAGAUGUGGCAACUGCUUUAAGUUCAUUAACAAAGUAAGGAAAGGAAGGAGGGGUUUUCAAAAAUCUGCAUUUGUGAAUAAAGUAUUUAGCAAGUUCAAAAAGGUUAUUCAUCAAAUAGUGUUGUGAACAGUCUUUCUUAAGUACACCAAACUUAAUUUAAUUUGUUUGUAUUCAAGAGGAUUUACACAUGUAAUAAUACAUGACAUUUUACUAUACAAUUGGGACCAAAAUCACUUUGAGUGGUUACAGUCAAAAAAGAUAUGCUUAGUGGUUUCAGUAUCAGUUUCACAAAAUUGACAAGUGUUUUCUCCAAUAUCAAACUUUGAUUUAAGGAAUUCGUUAGAUGGGUAUAUGUCAUUCAUUAUUUUGAAAUGAAGUUCUUUCACUUUAGGAAGACAUGGAAAAGUAAGAAAAUUCAGUCUCAUUUCCUUCAUCUCUUUCGGGUUAAUAUCUUUGAAAAUAUAGUGACGUUUAAUUCGAUUUGGAUUAAAUCUACCAAUGAAAAUACUUCUAAUGUAUUUGUUGUUACACUUAUGAUCUCUAAUAGACAAAUUACCCAGACAAAGAGAUGGGAGAGAGAAUGUGACAGAAUAGUGUGAAAGAAUCCCUUUUAUCAGUGGUAUCAUGUUUUUUGGUAUGGCAUUCAUAACUGUAUAAAAUUCUUUAGGGUGACAUAAAAAUCCAUGUUUUAAACAAAAAUCAUUGUAAUUGAACACAUUACCAUAAUUGUCCAUCAUAUCCAAUAGGAAAUAAAUAUUAUAUUGAACCCAGUUUUCAUAAAACAAAGACUUGUUAUGGUGUACAAUAAAACGAUUGUUCCAAAUACAAGUUUUAUGUGGACUGAAGUUGUGAGAAAAAGCUAAUUUCCAAUACAGGAGAACCUGCUGAUGGAAUGCAGAUAAUUUAAGAAGCAAUUUGGACAACUCAAAGUCACAUUUAAUCAAAAAUUCCAAGCCACCUACUUUCCCAAAUAUUGAAGAGGAGACCGUAAACCAUAGGCUGUUUGUAUUACAAAGAAAUGAUCUUAACCAUUGAGUUUUUAAACACUAUUCAUUAUCUCUAAGUCAAUAACAUUUAAUCCCUCUUCUUCGUAACUUCGUAAAUCAUUUUUGUUGAUAUAGUGAUGCUUAUUUUUCCAAAUAAAGUUAAAUAUUGCAGCGUUACAUUCUUUUACUAAGUGAGGUGGAAUAGCUGAGGAGGAGGCUGGAUAAACAAACCUAGAAAGUAAUUCCAUUUUAGUUAACAAGAUUCUUCCAUAAAUUGAGAUCUCUCUUUGUAUCCAAAAAUUAAGAAUAUUUUUUGCUUUUAAAAGAUUGUUUGCAAAAUUUUCUUGGAUGUUUUGAUUGCUAUCUCUAGUAAUAGUUAUCCCCAAAUAUUUUACAGAUUUCUUUAUUGGUAUAUUACAUAAAGAGUCUAAUUCACUAUCAUGAAUUGCAAUUAACUCACAUUUAUUUAUGUUUAAAUAUAGACCUGAUGCCUUGGAGAAUAGAUUAAUUAAUUGGAUAACUUUUUCAAUAUGAUGUUGGUCCCUUAAAAAAAAUCACCGUAUCAUCAGCUAAUUGGCUAAUACCAAUCUGUCUUCCAAAUACAUUCAAUUUAUCAAAGUUGCUGUUUUUAUCUAUCAAGAUAGCGAGCAUUUCUAACGCUAAGAUAAAUAGGAGAGGGGAAAUGGGACAUCCUUGUCUUAUUCCUUGAGAAAUAUUAAAUCUUUGGGACGUCCCAAAUGAAAGUGAGAUAGAACUAUUGAUAUCUUUAUAUAACAUUUUUAUAAAAGAAAUACAUUUACUGCCAAAGCCGAAUUUUUCAAGAGUGUAAAAUAUGAAAUUAUGUUCAAUUGUAUCAAAUGCUUUUCUAAAAUCUAAAAAAAGAAUAUAGCCGUCAUCCUCAAUCCAUUCAUGGUAGUCUAAAAUAUCUAGAAUUAAUCUGAUGUUAUUAUGUAUUGAUCUGCCUUUUAGGAAACCAGACUGCGAUUCACUAAUUACCUGGUUUAAUUUAUUCUUGAGUCUAUCGGAAAAUAUAUGAGCUAGAAUUUUAUAGUCACAGUUAAGUAGAGUGAUGGGGCGAAGGUUAUCUAUAUGACGUGCGUCUUUACCUGGUUUAGGGAUAAGAAUAAUUAAACCUUGUUUCAUAGUUGAAGAUAGUGAAUUAUUUUGGAUACACUCAGAAAAGGCUUUAAAUAAUAGUUCUCUCAAAUCUUCCCUAAAGAAUUUAUAGAAUUCGGAAGUGAGGGCAUCGCGGCCUGGAGAUUUCCCUGAAUGUAAUUUAUUUAUUGCUUUAUCUACUUCCUCUAUUUUGAUAUCAGCCUCACAUAAGACUCUAGUUUCCUGGUCUAACUGUGGUAUGCUAGUGUGUAUACUGUCAAAGAAAAUAUUACAGUCUGAUCCAGAGAAGGAUGAGCUAUAUAAAGAACUAUAGAAUUGAGGAAAUCAUUUUAGGGCUGGUACUUAUAACUCCAUUUACGUAAAGAGAAUUUAUAGCAUAUUUUUCUUGUCGCUUCUUUUCAAGCCUACAAAAAUAAUUAUUACUUUUUUCCCCUUUCUCUAUCCAUCUUGCUCUUGAUCUCACAUACGCUCCUUUAGCUUUUUGAGUAUAUAAUUCAUCAAUUUUGGAUUGUAAAGAUAGAAUUUGUAACUUAAGUUUCAUUGUCCAUUUCACUUUUAUUACAUAAAAAAUGUAAUUCUCUUGUUAAUUCUAACUCCAAUUUUGCUCUGGCCUUAUUUAAAUUUUUACUAAAUUGUAUAGAAAACUCUCGAAUCUUGUGUUUUAAAUAUUCCCAUUUACUUUUGAAUGACAUAAGGUCCUUACACGGUGCCACAUUUUUAAUUAGGGAUUUAAUUUGCAAGCAAAAGUCUUUAUGUUUUAAUAAAUUAGCAUUGAAUUUCCAGUAACCCUUGUUACGUGAUUCUCUUUUGCCCGAGUAGAAUGAUACAGAGAUACAACAGUGAUCUGUUAAAGGUGCUGCUGAUAUUGAGAUAUCUUCAAUAAAAUCAAUUAGGUUAGAUGAGGUUAACCAAUAAUCAAUUCUUGAUUUAGAAGAACCAUUAUGUUUGAACCAGGAAAAUUGUUUAAGAUUUGGAUUCCUAGCCCUCCAAGCAUCAACUACAUUAUUUUUCAAACAAAAGUUAAGAAGGUUAAGAUUGGGGUGAGAGGCAUCAAAUUUAGGUGGAAAGCGAUCUAUCGCUUCAUCCAUAACCAUGUUGAAAUCUCCUCCUAUGAUAAUAUUAUCAGUUGGAUAUACAAGUUUCAAUUCAAAUAGAGAGUCAGAAAUUUCAGAAAGUCAUUUGUUGUUUAGGGGAACAUUAUUGUAACCAUACACACUGAACAAAAUAAACAAAACAUCAUUAAUGUUUAGAACAACUGAAGCCCAGUGUCUUUACCUUUCUAACUUUGCCAGGUAAGUUGUUAAACAGUAUUGCCACUCCUGCAGAAUGUGUAGAAGCAUGACUGAAAAUGAUUUUGUCUCCCCAUUGACUCGUCCAGAACUUCAUAUCAUCAGGGUUGGAGUGUGUUUCUUGCAAAAAUAUACAAUGUGAGUUUUUACCUUUGCAAAAAAGAAAGAAAGCUUUUCUUUUGAUAGAGUUACUGAGACACCUUGCAUUUAAAGAAAUACAUGAAAAAGAUGAUUUCACUGAAAACAUUUAACAAGUAAGAGCAACAACAAUAAAAUAAAAUAAAUAAAUGAAUAAAAGUAAAAUGUGAAACAAGAAAGGACGAACAGUCAAAUUCGUUAAAUGUAACUGUGCUCUAUAGAACACAAAAUAACGUUUCUCUCAAACAGAGCACUGUAACGAGAUCUCGCUCAACAGCAAAAACAUGGCAAGAAAUCCCAUUUACACCUCUUGACAACAAAGAAGGCAAAAGUGAACGGUUGUUGAAAUCAUCCGUUCUUGACAAUCCGGGCGCCCUCUAUGUAGCCAUAGGGACCACGGUAGUAUGCUUUCUUCCCUGCAGCUCUAGCUUCACUGAUCCUCGGCCAUAGUGCAGCACGGGCUUCUCUGUCUCCCUUAGAUAAAUCUUCGGUGAACCUUCCUCCCCUGAGUUUACAGACAUCCGAAGCUUUGGUGGAGUGCCAGAACUCAUCUCUGUGUUUCCGCAUGCAGAACUGAAUGAUCACCUGCCUGGAUUUAUCCUUCGUUUUGGGACCAACGCGGUGGAUUGUAUCCACGAUGUCUUCAAGCUUGUGCUGCAGGUGAGGAGCAAUUUCCGCUAACAGUGAGACGACUUCUCUUCACCUGCUGUUUCCUUCAUUCCGAUUACUCUGAGGUUCCAUCUUCUUUUAUAGCGUUUGAGCUCCGACGUGCGGCUUAUCAGAUCUGCGUGUGUUGCGAGUUGUUUGUCGAACAAGUUUAUUUUUGUUUUACAGUCCUUUAUUUCCGUCGCGUUAAAUUCCACAGAUCUUGUCAGGUUAAUGAUCAUUAAACUGUUCUCAUUGAUCUUGCGCUCAAUGCUGCUUAAUUUCCCAUCUAGUAGAUCAAAUCUGGCAACUAAAGUUUCCAGGAGAGCUGCAUUGGAAAUCCCGGAGCUCUCGUCACCUUUCUGCUUCUUAGCUAUGGUUUUGGUUGGGGUAUUCUGCGAGGAAGAAGAUUCUUUGCGUUUCUCUUUGUGGUCAUUGUAGUCGAUUUCCAUGGCAUAUCAAUGCUUGGCAAGAGUACCCGAAGUUUUUGUAGCCACCACUUUGUGUCCUGGAAUAACUAUUUUCGGAUGAUUAGAAGCUUUUUUUGCUGACGUUGUCCAUAUACUCACUGAUACGCGAUAAAUGGGAUUAUAAAAGGCUAAAUAUUAAGAUAAACUUAAAGGUUUGCUGGAGAGCUGAGAAAACUACAAGUGUUUAGCCCGCCAUCUUGUUGCCUCUCAUUUUUUUGUGACAUGCCUGUUUGUCGUCGCAACGUCAUGGAUCAGUAGUUGUGUGUCGGUAACCAGUUGGUAAUUUUAAUUUUAAUUUAAUAUUCUAUGGGCAGACAUGCAGCACCAAUCUAAUUUCUGUCCUCAUUUGCCCAAAACUAUUUUAGAGGCUUUUCAACAGCAUAUGGAUGAUACAGACUCAGAAUUUGGUUCAGUUUAUUUACUAUGAAUAAAAAACAAUAUAGUGCUCAAAACAGUAUUACACAAACAGGUAAACAUUCAAAUAAACAAUGAAGCUUAAACGUGGAAUUGUGCAGUUGAAGCUACUCCUCCAUAUCUUCAUUUAGUCGGCCCUGUUAACAAAAUGAAAAGGAACAGUUGUUCCAAUCAGAGGCAACUUUUCCCGCUUCCCCAGUAGGCUGUAAUGGCUCCAGACAAUAUUGGUUGCUACAGCCCACAUGACCCUCCUUACACACUCUCCUGGAUUGGCCCCACCAAUAAGGCUGAGAUGUGCCAACUGUUGCCUUGAGGCGAGGAAAGGAUCCAUCUAAAUGAAAUGCACAAUAUUAAAUGAUUAAUACUUAAGCUGAAUUUAGUAGUAAGUAGUAGGGAAUUUACUGGUAUACCUUGACGCUUUCUCUUUGUUGCAGGUGGAACCCACAGUGUGUUCUCAUCUAAACAAAAUAAGUCAGUAUAUCAACUUCCAACAGAGAAUACCUUGUUACCUGAAAAUGAAUGUCUAAACUGUUUCAUUUUCAGAUGUUUCAAAAGGGCUCAUAAGGUUAAUACAGUAUAUCUCAGACCAUCACUGCUGUCUUCAAAUCUGCUGGGUUUGUUUGUUGGCCUCUUUAAGUUUUUACCAACAUCGCUCUCUACAGCAGAAGUAUAUUCUGCUGUUUUGCUCCACUUGCGGGCCCUCUCAAAAUCACCUAGUGAUGAAAUGUUAAUAGAAAUAGAAAAUCAAAAUUUAAUCACAUAAUCUAGUUCAAUCAGAUGCUUAAUCAAUCCUGCCAUAGAUUGAACCUUACCAGUUCUGGCAAAAACACGUAUUUUUCUUGAAAUCCAUUUUUCCUCAUCAGGAAGUGAUUGUUUUGCCCGUUUUGUCUGAUUGGUAGGUGGCCAGUAACUGUAUUGUUGCUAAAAUGUGUACAAAAAAAAAAAGAAAAAAAAAAGUCAGAGGCUAAUUGUAUUAAUUUAAUAAAAAUUUGUAAAAAGUAAAUUUAAACUAUUUUGAAGAUUAUAUUGUUGGUGUGGGUUGGACUUGUGGAUGGUUAUACCCCUUCAUCUUCAUAGACCCAACACUGGGCUACAAUGCCAACUGAUGACGACUCUGUAAAUUCCACAACAUAGUACAUGCUAAGGAAAAGAAAAGCAAAGCAAUGUUAUUGUUAUUAAAAUAUCACAUAUUUUUCCUCCCAGAAUAUAUGUAUGUAUACUGAAUUAAACAUUCUUAUUCUUACAUGAAACAAUGUCAUGAAAAAUUCACUGUUGAUAUAAGAUUGCCAUGAACGUUACUGUGUCUCCAUGAUUAAUCUUGAUGGCUAUCUUUUCAAUUUGUUCUCUAGGGAUCCAUCUCAUUGAUGUUAGUUUUUUCCUGUAAUUGUAUACUCCCACAAGAAAUGAGUGGCAUGGCUCCAUGAACAGUGGUGCAGGGUUAUGAUAAACCCUGCAAAGGACCUUUCCGUCUUUCUCCAUUUCGUCUGUAAUCUCACAGCCGUUCUCAUCAUGCAGCAAGAAUGCUUUGUCCUUGGCACUCAUUGUUUCUCUCUUUGUAUUUUUUAAGAGGAGAAGACUGUCUUUCCUCUAUUCUCUUGGCAAUCUGCCUAAGAGGGUGUGUUCCACUUCGUGCCAUCCUCUUCAUGGUGUACAGGUAUGCUUCAAAUUUGAAUGCACUGUAGUUGUCUAGGCCAUUAAAUUGUACAGCAUCGUCAGUGAUGUGGAGCAUAGAGUGGAUGUUGUACACCAUAAACUCUCUCCCAUAGAGCUCUCGCCCUCUACUGACAAAGUAGUGGAGCAGGUUUCUUGCAUACUCUGAAUGCCUCUUGACUAGUGUUGGGGAUACUAACAAGCACAUGGCCACGCUGAAGGUCAGGAAAUGAUGAUACAGGUCAUCCCCAAGGAUUCCUUUCAGCACCAGCUUGCCCGUAUAGAGCAUGACUUGGCGGAAUUCUGUUGCCUUCCUCCUCUCCAGCUCACCCAGGCUUCGAGGCAUGCAAGUGAAGAUGGAUGGGAUUUCACUUAGUAGUUGAAGAAGCCUAUUGCUUACCUCUUGUUUUUGGGUGGUGGAAAGCCUGACUCCUCUUGCUCCACUGGUCCAACUAAGAAGAAGCCUUUUCAUCACCCCCAGGCAUGCCUGAUGCAUAUAAUCAUUUGAGAAGCUUUUGAUCAUAUCAAUGGAUAGCUGGACCAACGGUGUACUGAUGUUUUGAUGCUCGGGCUGAACCUGGCUUCCGAAUGAUGUAUAUGUGGGAAGAGUAAGGAUUUCGGUGUCCUUAUAGGUGACUUCAUUAAACCAUUCGCAUUUUUGGUCACAUUUAUCGCAGCCAUACUAUCCAGAGCACAGCUUUGUGCCGUGGACAAUGGCUUUUGCUAGAACAUUUACGCUGCAUUUUUUUUCUCCUUUGCAUUGAAUGCCACUAGACAGGAGGUUUUUGAGGUCUGCUACAACAUCGUCCAAGAAAUGCAGAUCAUUUGGCCGCUUGUUUCCACAAGUUAAUGUUGUAGGGAAAACAAAAAUGGGAUUCAGGUGGAUGGCACAGAGGACAGGCCACAUAACUUUCCCUGAGCUCUUAAAUAAUGGUAGGCCAUCAAUGUUGAAUGACAGAUUAAUUGUGUCAUGGUCCUGUAGCUCUUCAACAGGGUACUUUUCCAGGCAAUCCAGUAACUUUUGAUGCAGUGGGUAGUGUAAAUAUUCCAUUCCAGAUUUCUGUAUUGUCGCUACAUGCCUAGGUGUUUUCAGCAGAGUACGAGCAGAGGAUGGAAGAUCUGUGUGGCCAUGUUGCUGAAGAAUCUUCAGCAACUGGUCAACAGCAUUGCUUUUCACUUGGAAUUGGGAUACCCAGGUUGCUAGAUCUGUUGCCAGUGAUAUUUUGUUUUCCUGGUCAGUGAUGUCAUUAUUUUCCCUUAAGUCCAUUGCUUCCACAAAGUCACCCUCCCAGUCACUAUCUUCCCAUGUGCAUGAUGCUUCAGUGGACAAGUGGUCCUCCAUAGAACUUAAGGCAUCAUCAGAGUCACUCUGACACCCUGUGACUAGUUCUGUGUGAUCACUCAGACUAUCUAAUUCUGUGUUACUUUUUGUUAUAGUUUCAAGAACAUGUUUGGCUGCUCUCCAGGAUCUCAGAUAUUGGGCAUGCGGCAAAUCAAAGAAAAGGCAAAGGAUUCUCCUCCUGGCCCUCCAUCGGGGGAUGGAGUGGUCUGCUUACCAUCUCUAGGCCUGCAGCAGGUCUCCACAUGCCUGGGUCGCCCGUCUCGGGGGCACUUCGAAGCCUUCCUCAGGUUCUUGGCGGCCGGCCGUGAGAUGGGUGGUGUCUGCUUCCUGCGGGUGGCUCCAUGCUGGGGCCGGGGCGCGGGUGCAGGCUGUGGCAGAGCCAGUGUUGUUGCGGCAGGAGGAUGCCCUUGGCGAUGAGCAGACGAGGUGCGAGGUCUUGAACCGCGCCGAUGCAGGAUGUGCUGAAUAGCCUCCGUCUGCUGUUUCACUGCCGAGAACUGCUGGGCAAAGUCCUCGACGGUGUCACCAAACAGGCUGACCUGGGAGACGGGGGCGCCAAGGAACUGUACCUUGAGAGCUUCGCACAUCUCGACCAAGUUGAGCCAUAGGUGGUGCUCCUGGACCACCAGGGUGGACAUCACCUGCAGAGAGUCCACGCCGUGACCUUCGUCACCCGGAGAGCGAAGUCGGUUGCCGAGCGCAGCUUCUGCAUCAAUCCUGGGUCAGAACUACCUUUGUGCAGUUCUCUUAGCACCUUGGCUUGGUGCACUUUCAGGAGAUCCAUGGCAUGCAGGGUGGAGGCGGCCUGCCCAGCGGCACCUUAGGCCUUAGUCGCCAGAAACGACAUAACCCUACAGGAGCUGGACGGGGGUCUCAGGCGGCCCCGCCAGGUGGCGGCAUUUUGUGGGCACAGGUGAACCGCAACCGCCUUAUCCACCUGGGGAAUCGCCGAGUACCCCCUGGCAGCCCCACCAUCGAGGGUAGUGAGAGCGGAGGAGCUCAGAGACCGGGUCCAGGCAGUGAAAGGUGCCCGCCACGACCUCGGGAGCUCCUCGUGCACCUCC